GUUCGCCAUCCACCAUACAAACAAUGGUCUCCCUGAUUUUACUAGCGAUUAUACGGACAAGCAGUUACUUGAAUAAAAUUCGGAAUACAUGCAGAAAUGACCAGGUAAUUAUGUACUUGCCUGUUAUUUCCAGGGAAUUUUUGAAUGUUUUGACAUUUGAAUUAGGAGUAGUUGUUUAAAACAAGACGUCAGAUGGAUUAUCGAAAGAAAAUUGAAGAAUGUCUAAUUAAUUUGCAACUGAUAAAUUGUAUCUGUGCAGAAAUACCUUCGAUUGACAUGGCUAAUCCUUCUAGUUUAGAGACACUGGAAUUAUGGAGCUCUUCUCCUGACCAGUUGGGAAAGAGUAGAAGGCUCAUAACAAGACAGAUUCCACAAC
rnacentral:lncRNA from 1 species